rnacentral:snRNA from 1 species
GGAUGUGAGGGCAAUCUGGCUGUGACAUCUGUCACCUCAUUGAUCGUCAGGGUUGAUUCGGCUGAUCUGGCUGGCUAGGCGUGCGUCCCCUUCCUCCCUCACCACUCCAUGUGUGUCCCUCCCAAAGCUCCACGCUUGGUCAAAGAGGACUACCUUCCCUGAUAGAGAAGAACCAUUCUUUGGUCAAAGGUCAAAACAAGCUCUCAAGAAUGAGGAGACCAACAAGGAGGAAGGGAAAGGUUU